rnacentral:rRNA from 1 species
CUACGGGGUGCUGCAGUGGGGAAUAUUGGACAAUGGGGGAAACCCUGAUCCAGCAAUGCCGCGUGUGUGAAGAAGGCCUGCGGGUUGUAAAGCACUUUCGGUUGGGAGGACUGCUUCUAGCACUAAUAUUGUUGGAAGUUGACGUUACCUUCAGAAGAAGCACCGGCUAACUCCGUGCCAGCAGCCGCGGUAAUACGGGGGGUGCAAGCGUUAAUCGGAAUUACUGGGCGUAAAGCGCGCGGAGGCGGCUAGAUCAGUCGGGUGUGAAAGCCCCGGGCUUAACCUGGGAACUGCAUCCGAUACUGGCUAGCUUGAGUACAGGAGAGGAGAGUGGAAUUCCACAUGUAGCGGUGAAAUGCGUAGAUAUGUGGAGGAACACCAAUGGCGAAGGCAGCUCUCUGGCCUGAUACUGACGCUGAGGUGCGAAAGCGUGGGGAGCAAACAGGAUUAGAUACCCCCGUAGUC